rnacentral:rRNA from 1 species
CCCUUAGAUGUUCUGGGCCGCACGCGUGCUACACUGAGUGGAUCAGCGGGUCAGGUUGCGCGAAAGUGUUUCCUAAUCUUGAAAUCCGCUCGUGAUGGGGUUGACGGUUGCAAUUUUCCGUCAUGAACGAGGAAUACCUUGUAAGCGCGGGUCAUCAUCCCGCGCUGAAUACGUCCCUGCCCUUUGUACACACCGCCCGUCGCUCCUACCGAUUGAGUGGUCCGGUGAGGCUUUGGGAUCUGAGCGGAAAGAGCGUUUCGCUGUUUCUGCUCGGAAAACUCAGUCGAACCUUAUCAUUUAGAGGAAGGAGAAGUCGUAACA